GUGAAUCAUCGAAUCUUUGAACGCAAAUUGCGCCUUUUUCUGAAGGCAUGUCUGUUUGAGGGCACCAUUUAACAAAUAAUGUGCAGCGUUUUUUGUUUCACACGUUGAUGCGCUUUCCAAGAAUUUUAAAUUUUUGGUGGCUCAUAAUGAACAGCGUGAAAGUUUUUUUUAGUUCUAGUGUAGAUAAAUCUUUGCUUG
rnacentral:misc_RNA from 1 species